rnacentral:lncRNA from 1 species
AUGAAGGUUCCAGAGGUACCCAGACCUUUAACAAAAUAUUGUUCCCGUUUUCUCAGGAUCUUAUCUGUUGCUUUGACUGAAUCCUCCAGCAUAGUAACAGCUGUUCUACUUACUUCAGGGAUUGCAAUUGCUGGAUCAUAUGGCAUAAAAUUCAUUUGAAACAUAUAACUACAAUCUUAAAUUGUGUGGUGCAAGAGUUACUGGAACUCAGGCCUCCCAUUUCAUUGAUGAGGAAAUGGAAACCUAGAAAAGAACGAGCCUUGUUUAAUGUAAGGUAAUGUAAUCAAUGUCCAGUGGGAAGCCUGCUGACUGGCUCCAUUAUACAAUUGUUUUUACAUUGCAAGAUUAUCCUUCUACUUAUUCAGAGCAGGAAUACAGAGAAAAGAAAAAACAAGUUAACAUAAGUGUCUUUGAUUUUUAGAUUUCAUGAAAGUUUUUAAAAAGUGAAUUUUAAUUGCUCUUUUAAGUUACCAUCUGUUCUUCCAUAUAGGUGAGUUAAAAAUUAAGUGAAUCGUUUUAAACUUAUUGUUUUAGAAUUCAUUAAAAGUGUCUUUUAAUUAAUUUUGUUAUACGUAGGGCCCUGAAGCAAGCUUUUUUGUGGUGCUUCUGCUGAACCAUCUGCCAACUUGAUAAAUGAUCUCAUUCUGCACAGGGCCCUGUGUUCCUGCAAGUGGAGACCCCCUCCAUGGGGUGAAGUAUCACCAGUGCUAUAUCUGGGAAGUGGACAACGGUGCUGCCUGGUGAUUGACUCCAGCUAAUGGUCUCUUUGUCAGCAAUCCAUCAGUGACAACAGCUUGCCCACUGUUUUGGGUCUGAGCAGCACCUGUGCUGAGGACUGGCCUCCGUGCAGAGUAGAAAUCAGCAUGUGGCAGUUCUGGCUUAAGGUAAGCAAAUUCAGGCUUUUGCAAAUUUUUAUUUAUAUGAUAUAUUUCUCUCUACCUACAAAUGUCUUGGUAUUUGUAUCAUUUAAGCGUUCGGAAACUCUUAUAGUUUCUAACUUUUAGCUGUCAUGUUGUUAAUCUUUCAAGCAGAUGUAAAUAUUAAUCUUAGAAAUCUUUUCAAUCUGGUGGAGGUGGAAGAGCUAGGGAUACCACAGGGUAGAGAAAAAAACCCCGCCGGAUUUCAAGAUAAGCCUUGAUUUCUGAUUUUGGUCAAUAAAAUAGUUCAAUAAGUAUUUAUUGAGCACCUGUGUGCCAGGUGAUCGUUCAUCUCUGUAAGUGGGGACUCCCUUUGGACAGCACCUACGUGUCUCUGGAGAUGCUAUCACCCUGCCUCCUAUGAUUUACAGAUAACUAAACAUCUGCUUCCAUGUUAACUGUACAUACUCUGGGAGAAUGUGUGGCUCAAAUGUUUCUUCUGACGUUCUCACCUUUCUCCAUGUGGCUUCUCUAGCCAAGACCACAGAUUCUUCUCUAAUAAGAUCAUCUCAGACUGAAGUUCCUUUUCUGAGCUCCUAAAAUCAUGUGUAUAUAGCACAUGGCUCAGAUCUUAAUGU